CGAGCCUUCGCCGGAAGCGCGCUUGUGUCGGCGUCUCCGGGCGCCGGAGAGAGGGAAAGCACAGGUCAUCAUUUGGGAGGAGCUUAUAUUUAUAAUCCCACACAAGAUAAUGAAUGUAGAACAUCUUUUCCAUUUUGUACAGCACUGACACUGCAUACCUGUGAGAGACUGGAUUUUCUUUGUGUACUUCAAACAAAUAACAUACGACAGUAGAUUCAGUGCAGAAGCAGACAUGAGUGUCCAGCUGUUUUUGAUUGAGGCAGACCUUAAGAUUAUCCCCAAAAGCUACAGAAGAUCCAGGUUAACAUGGCCCUUGGGAGGCUGGUGACGGAGACCAGGGUGCUCAUGCCUAUGGAGGAAGCCAAGAGCUCAUUUGUGGACAGUAUCCAGGAUGAAUCUGUGUAAAAUGCCAA